rnacentral:lncRNA from 1 species
GCCUAGUGCGACAUCUAGCCCACUGGAAGACUCUCGAGGCCAACUCGUGAGCCCGAGGCUUGGGGGGGAAUUUCUCUCAUAGAGGGACCCACCGGAUGCUCGUCCAUCGGCAACAAGAGUCCUUGUGAGGACUCCCCCGCGAGGCUGCUUCCUGAGAAGCCCUCCGCUCAGAGGGGCUAUUCGACGUGGGCCACUCAACGGUCCGCCCGCCACAUGCAUGGCGUGCAACUUGAGCAGAGGGGGGCAAGGAUGGCACCAGCGGGCACCACAGAAGAAUCUUUCCUUUUUAUGAUAAAAGGAGAGCAAGCAGUUGUCCUUCCAGAAGGCGAGUCUCAACACUUACCAGUUUUGUGCAAGGAUACCAAGGUGACACCGAUCACGAGGAUGAACAUCACCGGCGAGCCCACGAGCGCGUCAUGGACAGCGCCUUUGGCAGGAUGAAGACCACCUUUUUCAGGAGAGAUUGCAUGUUUGUCCCCCUUUGAAUUGCCUCCUUGUGGUCGCCCUUUUCCUGUCGGAGUCUUGGGAAGAGAGGCCCAUGGUAAAGAUAAGAGGUGCAUGAGGCCACCGUAGAUAAGGGAGAUAGAGCGACCAGAGAAAGAGAGACCAAAUUCCCCAUUCUCCCUCGGAGAACCUUUUUCCUCCUUGUAGCUUGUAAUAGUUAUGC